rnacentral:rRNA from 1 species
GACGUAGGUGACGAACGUUAUCCGGAAUUAUUGGGCGUAAAGGGUGCGUAGAUGGCCUGAUAAGUUAGCAGUGGGAAAUCGAGGCUCAACCUCGUGGAAGCUGGUAAUACUGUCAGGCUCGAGUGCAGGAGAGGUUAACGGAACUCCAUGUGGAGCGGUAAAAUGUGUAGAUAUAUGGAAGAACACCAAUAACGGCGAAGGCAGUUAACUAUUCUGUUACUGACAUUGAGGCACGAAAGCGUGGGGAGCAAGACGG